UAAAGAAAGCGUAAUAGCUCACUGGUCGAGUCGGCCUGCGCGGAAGAUGUAACGGGGCUAAACCAUGCACCGAAGCUGCGGCAGCGACACUGUGUGUUGUUGGGUAGGGGAGCGUUCUGUAAGCCUGUGAAGGUGGCCUGUGAGGGUUGCUGGAGGUAUCAGAAGUGCGAAUGCUGACAUAAGUAACGAUAAAGCGGGUGAAAAGCCCGCCCGCCGGAAGACCAA
rnacentral:rRNA from 2 species